rnacentral:rRNA from 1 species
UACAGAGGUCUCAAGCGUUGUUCGGAUUCACUGGGCUUAAAGGGCGCGUAGGCGGGCGGUCAAGUCGGGGGUGAAAUCUUUCCGCUUAACGGGAAGCGUGCCUCCGAUACUGAUCGCCUCGAGGGAGGUAGGGGCAUGUGGAACUUCCGGUGGAGCGGUGAAAUGCGUAGAUAUCGGAAGGAACGCCGGUGGCGAAAGCGACGUGCUGGACCUCUUCUGACGCUGAGGCGCGAAAGCUAGGGGAGCAAACGGG